ACAGUGGCAUGUCAGCAGGAGGAAGAUAGGCGAAGCCAGGAUGAAUGCCCAGCUGUCCACAGGAAGCAAAUCAUCAUUUGAUGUGUUCCAAAGGAAGACCCAGAGAAAAGACACCAUUCCUACAAAGGCUGUGGCAGCCUGAACAGGCCAACACAGGAUAAAGCACUUUCUCACCAGCUGGGAAAGUAGCCAUGCGCUCUGCAUUCAAUAAUUCAAAAACCCUUCUUGAAAGUCUAUGUGGGAGCUGCCGUAGUGGCACAGCAGAAUGACUCAGAGUGGACGUCUUAUCAGACUGAAUCUUUAACACCACUUUACAAAUACAUUGUCCCAUUGUCCAGACUGAGUUUCUAUUCUCUGCAAUGGGUACUAUAUAUUCUAUCUGGUCACCAACAGGCAAGUUCCUGGAGACUGUAGCUGAUGGACUUCAGGAAGAGUUGGGGAACACAGACUGAUGCUAUG